rnacentral:rRNA from 1 species
AUACGGAGGACGCGAGCGUUAUCCGGAUUCAUUGGGUUUAAAGGGUGCGUAGGCGGAUGAUUAAGCGUGAGGUGAAAUGCCACUGCUCAACAGUGGAACUGCCUCGCGAACUGGUUGUCUUGAAUGCUCCUGCCGUGGGAGGAAUGUGUGGUGUAGCGGUGAAAUGCAUAGAGAUCACACAGAACACCGAUUGCGAAGGCAUCUCACGAAGGGGUGAUUGACGCUGAGGCACGAAAGCGUGGGGAUCAAACAGGAUUAGAUACCCUGGUAGUCCACGCAGUAAACGAUGAUAACUAACCGCUGGGUCGUAGUGAUUCAGUGGCCAAGCGAAAGCGAUAAGUUAUCCACCUGGGGAGUACGACCGCAAGGUUGAAACCCAAAUGAAUUGGCGGGG